UUUUUGGCAACUUUUCAUUUUAUGAAUAACUUUUAUUUUAAACGUUUAAAACAAAAGUUAUUCAUAAAAUGAAAAGUUGCCAAAAA
rnacentral:miRNA from 1 species